rnacentral:misc_RNA from 1 species
AACACUGUUAACCUGCGGUACCUGCGGAAGGAUCAUCAUAGUAUAUGGAAUCUCCAUUCUAUAAACCCACUCUGCGUAUCUUGUAACUGUUGCUUCCAUGGGACUUGGUUCCGCCACACCGGCUUCACGGCUGGUGAGCGCCCAUGGAAGGAGAAACAAAACUCUUCUUUGAAAUGUAGUCAGUCUGAACAAGUUUUUAUAAACGUUAAAACUUUUAGCAACGGAUCUCAGAUCGGAAGA